UAUUACAAUAGUUAACAGCCAUGAAAGUUAAUGGGACCUCCAUAUCUAUUAUGCAGUCUUCUACCCUUAAUAGUAAAUGACGGGAUGGACAGAAGCUGAAUAGCACAAUUGUGUCGUGCUUGUCAGUUUCAAGACUAUAGGACACUGCUCAGAAGUAAGCCUCAAUGAGUUCAAUGCAACUUAUGUGCAUAGGAUUACAUAUUUCACACUGAGCACUUUGGCAAAAGGGCAAAAUAAUGUAAAAAGCAAACAAAUAGCGAAAUAAAUCCAUCAAGCUGAUUUUUAUAUCCCAUAUGGCACUGUCCUUACGACAGAUGACAUGGUAAACCAACUUUCACCAUGUUUUAAACAUGCAUAAUUAUGGAUCCAUUAACUUGUUAAUAGGUUACUGCCAAAAGAUAAAUUUAUUUUCUAUAUUCGGCAAAAACCUUUAUAUUCCCAAAUUAAAUUGUUAGAAGACAAAGUAUGCCUGAAACUUUUGUUUGUUUAUAAGAUGCGGGGAGUUAUCAAAUGACAAGCGAUGCAAUAUUCAGAUCUGAACAUGUUUAAGAUUACAGUUUACUGAAGUAAACAUGCUUAGCUAUUAAUAUUAAAUACAGGAGCCAGAUCUGCCAUACAUCUUAGUUACUUGAUUACACAGUCCCUCUCUCCCCUUUUUGACACACACACACACACACACACACACACACACAAACAAUAAACUGCCUACUUGAUUUAUACUGGCUCACAAGAGCCACGGUGAAGAACGCUUUGAAUACCGUUAUGCUUUAAAGCUUUUAAAAACAGCAUUAAAUAUGAACCAGAAAUAGGCUGGUAAAAUUUAUACUUUCUCUGAGAGAUUUUUGACACUUUCAAUGCUUGUGAAAGCUGAGGGGUUGACGGCGCUAGUCAAAUACAGUUGAGUGAGCAGACUGCCAGCAUCCCACAUUCCACCUCCAGUGCAGUUCAACCGUGACAUAGAGGGACCAGCCUUCUCUCUCUCUCUCUCUCUCUCUCUCUCUCUCUCUCUCUCUUAUGCACACGUGCGCGCGCACACACAGAGACGGUUUCAGAUAUUUUAUUUGCUAAUCUUUCUUCACAGCUAAGAAAAGCGCAGUUCUUCUGUUCAGUUCAUGUCACUGGUUAAAUCACAAGAUAGCUGCAGAUCACAAGAUAGCUAUAAUUAGAAUCAUAGAAUCUUAGAGCUGGAAGGGACCCAAGGGUCAUCUAGUCCAACCCCCUGCAAUGCAGGAAUCUCAGCUAAUUCAUAUUCAUAGAUAUGUUAUCAUGCCGUAAUUCACAUUGUUUUUGUUUCUCCCCUCACAAUUUUUUUAUUUCUUAAGUUAAUAUUCUGUGUAAAAUUAGAAGCUACCAAAAGUGACCAAAGAUCACUGUUGUUGUUGAAUCUGGACUUGGGAGCCCAGGGUUCAAGUCAUUUCUCAACCAUGAAGGUCACCAGUCAACCUUGGACAAGGCAUUGCUAUGAGGAUCAAUGUAGACUACACUGUAUACUGUGAAAGGUGCUGUAGAAAUGCUAAUUUUUAAAAGGUCAUUCUUGCUCAAAUAGACCUUGGCAUCUUGAGAUAAUAAAGUUGUUUAGCUGUAAUUGUUCUCCUGGAAAGCAGUAUAUGCAUGGUGAUAGGAUACCCUCCUUUGCAGAAGUGGGAGAUGAAUGUCACCUCUUUUCCUCCGACUUAUAUGGACUGACAUCCAGUGUCAAAAAACAACACAAUAACCUGGUUCCCAAAUUUGUAUUUGGGAGUGGAUGGGCGGAGAAUCUGCUGGAGAGAAUUUGAUGGGUAGUGCUUAACUUUUCCCAAUUACUGUCCACAGAACUCUGCACACACUACUACUACUACUAUUACUAGUAGUAAUGAUAAUUUUAUUAUAAUUUCUACCCCGCCCAUCUGACUGGGUUUCCCCAAACACACGCACACACAUUUUUCUUCCCCAUGAGGCUAAUUUCUAAACUUCAGUAAAGAGAAACAGCUGAAAAAUAGCUGAGUGGGAGAAGGCAUGGAAAGGGCUAAGCAUUUCCUUCUGCCUGCCAAUUAGACUAUGCAUAUGCCUGCCCUCAUAUUAAUUAAUAUUAUUGAGUGUGGUUUUUUAAAAAUCCCAUACCUUCAGUGGCACACUAAGACUUCCCAGGGCGGUUACACAUACAAUUAAAAUACUACAAUAUAAACAUCCCAGUCUAAAACUAUACAAACACAGCAAUAUCACCAUACUAUUAAGUAAAGGGUUUGGAAAGCCACGUUUGCCUCGUAACUCGUAGUUCCGCUCUCAUAUCCUGAAUACAGGUAACUCGCAUCCUACGUAGAGGUUACAUCCAUGGCUAUCGCAUGUAUAAGCAAAAUUGUGUAAAGCCAGAAUACCCCCUAGAAAACCAUUAAGACCUAGAAAAAUCAUAAUAAAUGAAUGAAUGAAUGAAUGCUGCACUUACCAGUGAGAGGCAAAUGUGGCUCUCAGUCUUCCUUUUCCUCUCCCUUGCUGGAUGCUGCUGCAUAUGAUAUGAGGGCCGGGGGGCUGCCUGGUAGCCAGAAGAAGUAUUGGGGUGUGGUUCAGAUCCAGAGGUGGGUUUCCCAUGCACAUCUGCUGCUGGUGGUGGUUUAUUUGUGAGGAAUUGCUGUUGUCUCUUGAGCUCAUCAAGCAUGUUGUUGUAUGGUCUCAAAGUGUCUGUAAUUCCAUGAUUGAUCUUGAGGCUACAUUCCAUGGAGGGGCAAAACUUUGCAAACAAAAAAUUUGCAUGCUUUAUUACUUGGAAGAAUUGAGAAAAUUCCUGCAGGUUCCAGCUUGCUGGCUCAUGCUUACCAUCCUCAUCCUCAUUCUGAGCUUGAUCUGACCAGUUCUUCUAGCUCUUCAACCGUCAACACCUGUUGGUCCUCAAUUACAUCUUCUACUUCUUCCUGGAUGAGGUCAACAAAGCCAUCACUACCCACUUGAGUGGUCCUCUGCACAAUGUCCUUCACCUCACUGACAAUGUUUGGAAAUCCCUUGAAAUCAUGCACACAUUCUUUCCCCAAGUUCCAUCAACAGGCAUUCACUGUUUCAGGUGUGAUUGCACCCACUUCCUGAUUGAGGCAGGUGCUGCAAUGGGCAAUGCUGAAAGACUUCCAGCAUGUUGUGAGGUCAAGAUCUGGAUCAGCAUCCAUCAGGUUCAUCAUCCAGGAAAAGGUGAGCUUUGUGUAAGCAGCCUUGAAGCAGUGAUUCACACCUUGAUCCAGAGGCUGCCAUUUUGCAGUCUGAAGCUUGGUAAACCACCUCUCUCGAAACUCCUCGGUAAGUCUCUCUGGCCUCUUCUGAUCACCCUUUCCAAAAGCUUCUUCCACACCCAAACACUCUCACAAUGGCUGCUGGCCAUUCUUUCCUGCUCUUCCGACCCCCUUUCACCCCACAAGUGCCAUUUUCACACAAUUUUAUUAUUCUUUUUCCCUACUGCAUGCCAUUUCUGCAACAUUUUAAAAAUUAUUUUUUGGCAAUGCACGUAAAGCUGCGAGUGUGUAUGUUAAAUAAGCGUAAGAUGCGAACUACCUGUACAGAGCAAGUUGUUUCUCCCCAAAAUGCAUUUCCACUACCUUCAAGCAAACAAUGUAAUCACUUUUAAGUGUGAUUGAGUAGCAUUGCUCAAAGAAGAAGAAGAAGAAGAAGAAGAAGAAGAAGAAGAAGAAGAGCAAGCCAGCUAUAAUUAAACCCUUUUAAGUCCCAUUGGUUUGAGUGAAAAAUGCUAAAACCCAUUCUUAAAUAUCUAAUCAAGUGUGCCCAUAGCUAGUAGCAUGGGAAGCUACCUUAUACCAAGUCAGACCAUUCGUCUAUCUGGCUUACCAUUAUUUGUUCAACUGGCAGCGGUUUUCCAGGAUUUCAGAUAUGAGCCUUACUGAGCCCCAGUGAUUUUUUUCUGGGGUUACACAGGGGUACACAUACCCCUAAACGUUUUGUGAAUCUAAGUCUGGCCUCAAUGAGGGGCGGUAUUUCAAUAUGAGUAGGAAAAUGAGAGUACUCUUAAAUAUUUUUUUAUGG